CUUUUUACCCUAAUAAAUCAUUCAGAAAGAAAUAUUCAGUGCAGUUUAAACAUGGUCUGGUUAUUAAUAAUGUGACUGCAGAUGAAUUAGGAGUUUAUUACUGUAUGAACACAGAAACACCUCCAAAACUCAGCAACAGCACCAGAAUAUACUUCAACGACUCAACUCAACUAACUCACAAUCAUACAGCAAUCGACUGCAUUGAUCAGAAUCAAACACAAUAUCAGAUUAUCAUAAUCAUAUCUGCUCUGAUGAAUGGACUUCUGAUCAUUGUUCUGAUUGUUUCUGUUGCUGGAAAAACAGAGCGGUUGGAAAAACACAUUCAUAAUGAUGAUCUGCAGACAAAAGUUACAUAUCAGCUUCAAGAUCCAAACCAAUUGUAGGCACAAUGAGUUCAUUAAUGUGGAACAUAAUCUGCAAGCAAACAACAGCUGUGUGAUUACAUAACAUGUUAUUAAAGUGUUGUGUUUAACUCAAGAACAUAUUUUUAUAUGGUGUACAUUAUUGAGUAUUUGGGAUAAUAGUUAUCACAAUUCUUACU